rnacentral:rRNA from 1 species
CUGCCCGUAGCAGGGGGAUAAGCGGAAGAAAUUCCGUCUAAUACCGCGUAAUAACUCCGAGAGGCAUCUCAUGGAGUUUAAAGGGUAACACCGGCUACGGAUGGCCAUGCGGCGCAUUAGCUAGUUGGCGGGGUAACGGCCCACCAAGGCGACGAUGCGUAGGGGUUCUGAGAGGAAGGUCCCCCACACUGGUACUGAGACACGGACCAGACUCCUACGGGAGGCAGCAGUGAGGAAUAUUGGUCAAUGGGCGCGAGCCUGAACCAGCCAAGUCGCGUGAGGGAAGACGGUCCUAUGGAUUGUAAACCUCUUUUGUCGGGGAGCAAAAGACGUCACGUGUGGCGUUCCGAGAGUACCCGAAGAAAAAGCAUCGGCUAACUCCGUGCCAGCAGCCGCGGUAAUACGGAGGAUGCGAGCGUUAUCCGGAUUUAUUGGGUUUAAAGGGUGCGCAGGCGGAAGAUCAAGUCAGCGGUAAAAUUGAGGGGCUCAACCUCUUCGAGCCGUUGAAACUGGUUUUCUUGAGUGAGCGAGAAGUAUGCGGAAUGCGUGGUGUAGCGGUGAAAUGCAUAGAUAUCACGCAGAACUCCGAUUGCGAAGGCAGCAUACCGGCGCUCAACUGACGCUCAUGCACGAAAGUGUGGGUAUCGAACAGGAUUAGAUACCCUGGUAGUCCACACAGUAAAC